GUCCUCAGAAACCUUGUUGAGGUCUUUCUCCAAUUCCUCCAGCCAGCUGAAAUACUGCCAAGCUCACUUCAUAUGCAAGGCUGUCUGUGUUUUCCUGCAAGUUACAUAAAAGGAUAUUAGAUGAAAAAGACACAGCAUCUACCAGGUUACUUGCAACUCCAGGGGGAGGGAGCUUUCCAAUUUUGUUUCAUUAACAAAUAAUUCAAAUGAGAACUUUUUUUCAUCUUUCAGUAACAAAUUACAAGACCCUUAUCUAAGUGGAAAACAAGUCACAUUUUUCUAAAUCAGCCCAGAUUCUACUUCUCAGCAUCUAGCCUCUGGAAGUACUGUGUGAACCAAGAAUAAUGCAGAGGAAGGAAACAGCUACACUUGAACCAACAAGCUAUCCAGGACUUGCUUCAAAAUAAUAUUGGGGCUGUGGAUGACACUAGUUGAAGCCAGUGUAAAGGGGGUUCAUUAUUUUGUUCUCACAUCUUUAAAGUUUAAAAAAUAAAAUAAAAUCCUUUACAGUGAUACAUAUUUAUAAUAAA